GACGAACGCUGGCGGCGUGCUUAACACAUGCAAGUCGAACGAAGAGCGAUGGAAGCUUGCUUCUAUCACUCUUAGUGGCGAACGGGUGAGUAACGCGUAAUCAACCUGCCCUUCAGAGGGGGACAACAGUUGGAAACGACUGCUAAUACCGCAUACGAUCUAACCUCGGCAUCGAGGAAAGAUGAAAGGUGGCCUCUAUGUAUAAGCUAUCACUGCAGGAGGGGAUUGCGUCUGAUUAGCUAGUUGGAGGGGUAACGGCCCACCAAGGCGAUGAUCAGUAGCCGGUCUGAGAGGAUGAACGGCCACAUUGGGACUGAGACACGGCCCAGACUCCUACGGGAGGCAGCAGUGGGGAAUCUUCCGCAAUGGACGAAAGUCUGACGGAGCAACGCCGCGUGAGUGAUGACGGCCUUCGGGUUGUAAAGCUCUGUUAAUCGGGACGAAAGGCCUUCUUGCGAAUAGUUAGGAGGAUUGACGGUACCGGAAUAGAAAGCCACGGCUAACUACGUG
rnacentral:rRNA from 1 species